rnacentral:rRNA from 1 species
GACGAACCGUGCGAACGUUGUUCGGAAUCACUGGGCUUAAAGGGCGCGUAGGCGGAUCGACAAGUCAGGGGUGAAAUCCUUCGGCUCAACCGGAGAACUGCCUUUGAUACUGUCGGUCUUGAGGGAGGUAGGGGCAUGUGGAACUUCCGGUGGAGCGGUGAAAUGCGUAGAUAUCGGAAGGAACACCGGUGGCGAAAGCGACGUGCUGGACCUCUUCUGACGCUGAGGCGCGAAAGCCAGGGGAGCAAACGGG